AAUAAGGGACCGGAAUUAAGAGAAAUGUCCUACAGUGAUUAACGUGGCAUUUUUGUACAGAACACGGUUUUAAUAGUAUGCUAUAUUAUGGUGCCUUGUGGUUUACCGAAAUCCCAUUGAUCCAUGAAACAACACUUUGAGGUGGGAACUGUGUUUCCUCUUUGGACAGGAGGAAACAGACUGAGAGAAGUUAAGUGACAUUCUCAGGAUCCAGAGAUGAAGAGUGGCAGAGUCAGGCAAGACUGGAAUCACACUUCUGGCUCCUCGUCUCAUAUUGCAUCAUUACUGCUAUUACUGACCACGGGAGCUAUAACUCAUAGAGCAAUCCUCAAAAUAAUUUUGUAUCAGGGCAGAUGUUAAAAACAACUGAUAAAUAUGCAUCAAGAAAGAUGUGGAAAUGCACAGAUGGGAUGUAUGUUAAACCCAACCUCUUCCUGGGCCGGGUGGAACGUCGUCCUUGCGUGAAGACAGCAUUUCUGCACUAGAACUCCCUGCAGGCAAUUUUCACUCUAAAGAAAAAUAAGAGCAAAACAGUGAAGCUCUAGGCAAAUGGACUAUCUUCCUGAUGUAUGUUAGGCCAAGUAAAACAACUCUAAGCAAACGGUGCUAGCUAUAGCUUUGUUGUAGUGGAAAAUAAGCGACUACUUUGAGCUUGGUUUAAUAAAAAUCAAUAAUAAACAUUUUUUGGUUAAUUA